AAGUCGUAACAAGGUCUCCGUAGGUGAACCUGCGGAGGGAUCAUUACAAGAACGCCCGGGCUUCGGCCUGGUUAUUCAUAACCCUUUGUUGUCCGACUCUGUUGCCUCCGGGGCGACCCUGCCUUCGGGCGGGGGCUCCGGGUGGACACUUCAAACUCUUGCGUAACUUUGCAGUCUGAGUAAACUUAAUUAAUAAAUUAAAACUUUUAACAACGGAUCUCUUGGUUCUGGCAUCGAUGAAGAACGCAGCGAAAUGCGAUAAGUAAUGUGAAUUGCAGAAUUCAGUGAAUCAUCGAAUCUUUGAACGCACAUUGCGCCCGCCAGCAUUCUGGCGGGCAUGCCUGUUCGAGCGUCAUUUCAACCCUCAAGCCCAGCUUGGUGUUGGGGCCCUACGGUCGACGUAGGCCCUUAAAGGUAGUGGCGGACCCUCCCGGAGCCUCCUUUGCGUAGUAACUUAACGUCUCGCACUGGGAUCCGGAGGGACUCUUGCCGUAAAACCCCCAAAACUUUUACAGGUUGACCUCGGAUCAGGUAGGAAUACCCGCUGAACUUAA
rnacentral:rRNA from 1 species